AGCUUUGUGCAGUGGCAGUAUUGUAGCCAAUGAGGCUUAUCCAAGGCAUGAUUACUGCUAAUAUA
rnacentral:snRNA from 1 species